rnacentral:rRNA from 1 species
UGGGGAAUUUUGGACAAUGGGGGAAACCCUGAUCCAGCCAUGCCGCGUGUAUGAAGAAGGCCUUAGGGUUGUAAAGUACUUUUGUUAGGGAAGAAAAGCUAGUUUUUAAUAAAAAUUAGUGAUGACGGUACCUAAAGAAUAAGCACCGGCUAACUACGUGCCAGCAGCCGCGGUAAUACGUAGGGUGCAAGCGUUAAUCGGAAUUAUCGGGCGUAAAGCGAGUGCAGACGGUUACUUAAGCCAGAUGUGAAAUCCCCAAGCUUAACUUGGGACGUGCAUUUGGAACUGGGUGACUAGAGUGUGUCAGAGGGAGGUAGAAUUCCACAUGUAGCGGUGGAAUGCGUAGAGAUGUGGAGGAAUACCGAUGGCGAAGGCAGCCUCCUGGGAUAACACUGACGUUGAGGCUCGAAAGCGUGGGGAGCAAACAGGAUUAGAUACCCUGGUAGUCCACGCCCUAAACGAUGACAAUUAGCUGUUGGGCUUUGAAAGGCUUAGUAGCGAAGCUAACGCGAGAAAUUGUCCGCCUGGGGAGUACGGUCGCAAGAUUA